ensembl:lncRNA
CUUUCACACUGAAAUGAAGUGCAUGACUCAGGUCACACUCCUGCAUCCUUAUGUGACAUAUGAUCUGAGUUGUCCUGAAAAAAUAGAUGUUAUGGACUGUGAUUGUUUUUCAAAAGGAAAAAGUAAAGGUGUGAAACAAAAAUCAGUUUCCAGCAGCUGUUGGUGGUAAAGUGUCCAGUGCCCACCACAGCCAGAGAGAAAGCUGCUGAAUAUUUAGAAUUUCCCUCGGGAUUAAUAAAGCGUCUGUCCGUCGAGUCGUCGGAUCCUCUUGAUCCUCAUCAGGGUCAUGGGGGGCUGGAGUCUAUCCCAGCUGACUGCGGGUGAAGGCAGGGGACACCUGGACAGGGGGAGGUGGUGCACUGGCUGGCCUGUUGGCUGGAUGCAGCCUGCAGGAAGGGCUCCACUCCC